UACAGAGGGUGCGAGCGUUGUUCGGAAUUAUUGGGCGUAAAGCGCGUGUAGGCGGGAUGGCAAGUCGGGUGUGAAAGCCCUCAGCUCAACUGAGGAAGUGCGCCCGAAACUACUGUUCUUGAGUACUGGAGAGGGUGGCGGAAUUCCCGGUGUAGAGGUGGAAUGCGCAGAUAUCUGGAGGAACACCGAUGGCGAAGGCAGCCCCCUGGGUCAAGAUUGACGCUCAUGCACGAAAGCGUGGGGAGCAAACAGG
rnacentral:rRNA from 1 species